rnacentral:lncRNA from 1 species
ACAAUUCUAUUUUAUCUCAUUAUCACCAUUGUGUCUUCUUAAUGAUUAAUAUGAUCAUUGUCAAUAAAUGAUUGUGAUAAAUUGCUUGUUCGAGAACAAGCAACCCGUGGCCACGUUCCAUAUUUAUCAAUUCAUACAAUGCCUGUAGUAGGCCAAUUUGCCCGGACCCAAUUAAAUAAAUAAGCACCAAAAAUAAAAAC